rnacentral:lncRNA from 1 species
GGAUGAGUACAAGGAGUGCAAGCUUGGAUCGUUGGUGGCAAUGUGAUGACCGUGAAGAUCAAGAAAAUGAAUGAGGAAGCCAAAACCCUCGAACCCAUUUUUGUUCUCAAAUAGGGUUUCUUGGAUUUUCAAGAAUCAAACUCUUACUGCAUUAUUGUCAAAUCCUUUUGGCAAAUAACACGUAAAUAUAUAGAAGAAGCUUAACUGCGACCCGUGACUCUUGUGGGGGAUGGAAACCACAAUAGGUAUAGUGUUUAUAAGUGUCGUAUAAAUUUUAUUAUAUGUUUUGGUACGUACAAACAUGUGUAAG